rnacentral:rRNA from 1 species
AUUGAACGCUGGCGGCAGGCCUAACACAUGCAAGUCGAACGAGUGGCGGACGGGUGAGUAAUGUCUGGGAAACUGCCUGAUGGAGGGGGAUAACUACUGGAAACGGUAGCUAAUACCGCAUACCAUCCGAUGUUCCCAGAUGGGAUUAGCUAGUUGGUGGGGUAACGGCUCACCAAGGCGACGAUCCCUAGCUGGUCUGAGAGGAUGACCAGCCAACCUGGAACUGGGAAACGGUCCAGACUCCUACGGGAGGCAGCAGUGGGGAAUAUUGCACAAUGGGCGCAAGCCUGAUGCAGCCAUGCCGCGUGUAUGAAGAAGGCCUUCGGGUUGUAAAGUACUUUCGGCGGGGAGGCGAUACCUACAGAAGAAGCACCGUCUAACUCCGUGCCAGCAGCCGCGGUAAUUC